rnacentral:rRNA from 1 species
AGUGAACGCUGGCGGUAGGCCUAACACAUGCAAGUCGAACGGCAGCACAGUAAGAGCUUGCUCUUACGGGUGGCGAGUGGCGGACGGGUGAGGAAUACAUCGGAAUCUACUUUUUCGUGGGGGAUAACGUAGUGAAACUUACGCUAAUACCGCAUACGACCUACGGGUGAAAGCAGGGGAUCUUCGGACCUUGCGCGAUUGAAUGAGCCGAUGUCGGAUUAGCUAGUUGGCGGGGUAAAGGCCCACCAAGGCGACGAUCCGUAGCUGGUCUGAGAGGAUGAUCAGCCACACUGGAACUGAGACACGGCCCAGACUCCUACGGGAGGCAGCAGUGGGGAAUAUUUGACAAUGGGCGCAAGCCUGAUCCAGCCAUACCGCGUGGGUGAAGAAGGCCUUCGGGUUGUAAAGCCCUUUUGUUGGGAAAGAAAAGCAGCAGGUUAAUACCCCGCUGUUCUGACGGUACCCAAAGAAUAAGCACCGGCUAACUUCGUG